UUCCUUAUUUCUUCACCAUAAAAGGACCAGCAAACCCUAAGUAAUAUUCUCAAACCUUCUCCCAUCAAUCACAAACACUCCUAAAAGCAAAUCAAACAACUUCAACAUGGAGAACAACAUGGCAAUUACGGAAUUGUGAUUUCUUCGCUAAACUGCUUCUCGGAUAAGAACUUCACCUUGAAGUAACUUGGAGUUUGGAGUGAUUUUGAUCAUCUAAGGAAAUCAUUCGUAAGACGUUCGAGGACUCCGGGAAAUGUAUAUAACUCCAUCGACGUGGUACGGUAGACGGAUUGUUGUACCUUUCUGAGUAGGACACCAAAGUUCAGCAGGGAUGCUCGCACUCCAUUCUCCGGAGUUGCUGGUCAGAGUCAUUAAAUAGGAUGCAUGCAUAUAUAUAUAUAUAUAUAUAUAUAUAUAUAGAGAGAGAGAGAGAGAGAGAGAGUAUGGCCAUGGGUACAUCGGGGCCACUGUCCCGACCAGUUGAUGCAUAUUAGUGCUCUUAGAGGCUUACAGACUAUCAGUUAGUGUACAUGUAUUUUGUUUGGCCUUGCCGGCCUUCUGACUAGUUUUUUUUCUUAGUUGUGGCCUUGUCGGCCCUAGUUAUGCAUAUAUGUGUUGUUGGGCCUUUUCUGCUUGCAGGUUGUCAUGAUAUACUUCUUACAAUUGUUAUUCCGCGGCCUUGUCGGCCCUAGUUAUGCAUAUAUGUGUUGUUGGGCCUUUUUUGCUUGCAGGUUGUCAUGAUAUACUUCUUACAAUUGUUAUUCCGCGGCCUUGUCGGCAUAUGAUUCAUGUUAUAGAGUUCAGAUAUCACAGUUGGUUCGCUCAGCCCUUCCGGUGCCGGGUGCCGGCCACACCCCCAAGGUUGGGGUGUGACAUGAGUGACCAUCCAAGCAAUCAGUCAUCAACCAAUCAAGCUAAAUUGUCCUAAAUAGUUAGAAUAUAGUACAAAGUAAAAGGCAGGAUUUUCAUCAAGGGCGUUCGAGAUAAACACGAGAAAAUUAA